CAUUUCUUCAUGGUGGAGAACAGUCUUUGUGGCAAAGGUCUUACCUGCUCUGAACAGCAACAGGUAUGUUUUGAAUUGAUUCUGUAAUUCCUUUGAGGCUAGGCAUGAGUGAAUAUAAAGUUCAGACAGAAGACACACUCCUCUUCACUGAUCCAAUUUCAAACUCUCUGCCUAACCGGUCUUUUAUUCACAAGCACACGUAUUGAAAAGCGGCGUAAUGUGGAUGGGAAAGGCUGAAGUGAGCUACGCAUCAUAGUGAUGAGAACAAAUGGUUGGAAAGAAAGGGGUGAUCUAUGGUGCUGGAGAAGGGUUCGUGUUGUGUGCCGAGCAGCACUCGAUGACUGAUGAUUCUGAUGGUGUUUGCUAUUCAAAGCUGGGUUAUUUUUCAACUGGAUUAGCUAAGAAAAAGUCAAUGGCAGUGCAGAUGGCGAUGACAGCUCAUACAGGAAUGCUGCUAGAUUUCUACCCAUUGCCUUGAAAUACUGAUUUCCAACUUCAGUGCUGUAAUGACAACAUAAAUGAAGGAAUGCCUGCCCUUCUGCGGCACAGGGGGCAACACUGGGGAAAUAAAUACCUGCUGGCAAGGUUGAAAAACCCAAAACAAGACCUACUUCCCACCUCUGGAAUCCCCGCUAUUACUAGAAGAUGAUUCCACAUUAAAGAGUACAGGUACAGUUUCACUGGCUUUAAGGAGCUGUUUCCAAAUUAUAUCGGUGUCAGGCUAGAAUCAAAUAAUCCCAGUUCAAACCCCAAACACAGACCACUCUUAACCAAACAACAUCACUGGCUUUCACAAAUUUAAAAGAAACUGCGUGAUAUGAACUAAUCCCUGAUGUCCACUUGGACGAUGCUUAAAAACCUCCUGAAGCACCUCAGAGUUCACGUUGUGAUAAGGUCACAUUUAUCAUGUGCCAGCACUUGUUCACUCUGCAGCACGUCCACAGCCUGAGUUAGUUUUGUGGCAUUCUUUGGACAUUCUACCUCCUUAGAGUAAAGGAACUGAUUCUCCUCCCAAAUACUGCUCCAUCAGUGUGUCUUCACUGAAUAUAGAGCAGUGCUUCAGAUUUA